AAAAAAUUAGUUAAUUAUAUAACAUAAGCUUGUCAAGCUUAAAUUGUUGCUCAAGCAACAUUUUUUA
rnacentral:tRNA from 1 species